rnacentral:rRNA from 1 species
UACGGAGGGUGCAAGCGUUGCUCGGAAUUAUUGGGCGUAAAGGGUAGGUAGGUGGUCUCAUUUGUCUGGGGUGAAAGCCUUGAGCUUAACUCAAGAAGUGCCCCAGAAACGGUGAGACUGGAGUCCAAGAGAGGGUCGUGGAAUUCCUGGUGUAGCGGUGAAAUGCGCAGAUAUCAGGAGGAACACCGGUGGCGAAGGCGGGUCUCUGGGCCGAUACUGACGCUGAGGAGCGAAAGCGUGGGGAGCGAACAGG